rnacentral:tRNA from 1 species
GCGGAUGUGGUGGAAUUGGCAGACACGCCAGAUUUAGGUUCUGGUGCCCUCAGCGUGCAGGUUCAAGUCCUGUCAUCCGCACCA